UUCUUAUGAUGGGAAUUUCUGGGAAAAAGGGGAUGCGUCAUCUGCCCUUUUGGCAUCCAUUUAUGUAUAUCAUUAUGCUCCUGACUUUAUCUUUUUUUAUUCAGCUCCAACCCAGAUAUAUUUUUAACAUUUACAACAAAACUCACCAACCAAAUUCCAGUAAUUUAUCAAGAACUCCCCCUGGGUCACCAAUUCCAAGUUAUAAUUUCUUUGGAAUAUGUUUCAGACUUCUCUCAAAACGUCUAUGGCGGCGAACCCAAAACGCCACCCUUUUUAACCGAUCCAAAAAUUUCACCCUUUCCGACUUCCAAAACAACUGACCAUUUAUGAGUUGUUGCUGAUUUCGCUGCCCAUUCAAGCUUUACAGUUAUGGUCUCGAAUCCGGAGAACGAACCUAGGGCCUCGAGAGACGUCGAGAAGCCGCCGAUUGAGCCCAGACGGCCACCUACGGUGGAGGAGAUGCACGGCCAAGACAUUUGGAGCAACUGCGCCGUCCGCAGUGUCGUUAGUGGAGUUAUGGGUAUGGCUAAAGUUCUUUCCUUUGGCUAAAUUUUUGGAUUUUCUCACAUGGGUUUUGAUUCUUUUUUCGUUUUUCUCUGUUUGGUUGCUGAGAAAAUGUGGGAAAGUUUCUACCAUUUUUACUGUUGGUUUUUAUUUUUUGUCCUUUAUCUCUGUUUGGUUGCCGAGGAAACGUGGGAAAGUUAUUGUCUUUUUGUUCGUCUGUUGUCUCGAUUUAUAUAUUUGUGGGUUUCAGAAUGUGCAGAAGAUUGGUGUGUUGGUAAGGUUGUGAUAGGUUUAGUUGUUCACACAAAUUUGUUACUGUUGGGGUAUGAAUGUAUCAAAAAAGGUCUAAAUUUCAUUAUUUUAAAGUGAGAAUUGGGGUUUUCUCAGUAUAGCAAACUCUACCAGAAGGUUACAUUGGAAAUUGUUCAACGGUUUCCACAAAUUCUUUGGAAUUCAAAUCACCUUUUAAUUUAGGAAUCAGACUUUUUUGGUUUUCCAAAAUCUCAUAAUCUCUCAAUAUUAUGUUUUCAACUUCUAUAUGCAAAAAAAGUUAUUCAUCGUCUCUGAAUUGCUUAUGCAUGUCAGCAUUGCAAACGAUUUACAAUUAUCAAUUGCUCAAAUUUUAUUCUGUUUGUAAUUAAUUUUGAAUGGGUGACCGGAACUUAUCAAAGUAGCAAAUGUAUAUUGUCAUUACAUUUGUUUUUGGUUGCAAAAAUUUUGUUUUGAAUUCUUUGGUUUCAUACUUUUCUUGGGAUUUUAGUGCAUUUUCAUAGAUUAUUUGGGGGUAGCAUCAUCUGUGAUACGGUCUUAGGUUUUCUAGAAUUAUUUGUCUAUCUUCUUUCUACUUUUUGCAAUGUGCAGAUGGAGCCCAUCCCAAGUGGAAAUCUGCCUUCCGGAUUUGACCCCACUCAAUGCAACAGUGUGUAGGUGCUAGAUAUCGAUCUUCUUUUUUCCUCUAUUUCUAGAAUCUUAUGUUUUUUUUUUCCCAUUCAUCUUUAUAUUUGUCUACUUGAAGUUUCUUUAUCCUGAAUAUUUCGUGUAUAUUAGAUUCUCCAAUAUUUCUUCUUAUCACACCCUCCCAAUCUGAACUUCAUCGUAGACGUACUUUCUUUCCCUUUUAAUUGCUUCUUAGGGCUUCUCUGUUUUGAUUUUCAUCAUCCAAUUUGUUAAAUUUGUUGUUAAUUUCAGGGUACUGCCAAUUUUCUGCUGAUUCCAAUUCCACACUUCAGAAAGGUACUGGGACGUUGUUUGGAACAGAACUAGAGGUGACGAUGUGGUGGAAAAACAGCCACCACCACCACUUUGUCCAAAUCUGACGGCUUGCGCUGUAGCAUCUGCUUGAAUCUCCCCGCACAACUGGACUCCGGGACGUUUUCCAAAUAAACUCCAGACUCCAAAGGGUGCGGCUGAAAGAGUAGAAUCUGAGGCAAUCAAAUCCAAUCCAGGGAAGAGAUUGGAUAGUUUCUGAGGCUAAUCCGAAGAACACAGUUCAGGUAUUGACAAUGGCAGGCAAAGGGGUUCGGGUUUUGGCUACUCCAACCUCUUGGCAGGAUUUUGGCUUGCAUGCAAGGAACUCUGGUUGUGAGAAGAAGAAGCCAGUUCCUUGCUAUUUUUAGAUUACGCCUAAAACAAAUGGUUCCUGCAACAACGUGCGGACGUAUUUGCUAGUACAACCGGUUACAAGCAUACUCUCUCCCAUCCGAGAUGCUCUUAUUUGAUACUUCAUUUUGGCAUUUUUGUGUAUUUAAGUCAAACGUGGGGGCUCCUCUCUUCGUCUAAUUUUUCCAACAAUAAUGCUACUAUUGUUGAAAAGUCUGAUGGCAAUGAAUGCCCACAGUUCAUUAGCAGAAUUCUUCAACAUGGGCAGAAGUUUUCAAUGCCCAUGCAAAGUGAAAUUUGAAUAUGAAAAAUACAUAGAAAUUGUAUUGUCAAA